CCUACGGGAGGCAGCAGUGAGGAAUAUUGGUCAAUGGACGCAAGUCUGAACCAGCCAUGCCGCGUGCAGGAAGACGGCUCUAUGAGUUGUAAACUGCUUUUGUACGAGGGUAAACGCAGAUACGCGUAUCUGUCUGAAAGUAUCGUACGAAUAAGGAUCGGCUAACUCCGUGCCAGCAGCCGCGGUAAUACGGAGGAUUCAAGCGUUAUCCGGAUUUAUUGGGUUUAAAGGGUGCGUAGGCGGUCGGAUAAGUUAGAGGUGAAAUCCCGAGGCUCAACUUCGGAAUUGCAUCUGAUACUGUUCGGCUAGAGAGUAGUUGCGGUAGGCGGAAUGUAUGGUGUAGCGGUGAAAUGCUUAGAGAGCACACAGAACACCGAUUGCGAAGGCAGCAUACCAAGCUACUUCUGACGUUGAGGCACGAAAGCGUGGGGAGCAAACAGGAUUAGAUACCCCUGUAGUC
rnacentral:rRNA from 1 species